AAGCUUCACCCAAAAAACUUCACCCGAAAAGCUUCACUUAAAAAAGUUUCACCUACACAGCUUCACCUAAGAAAGCUUCACCAUCAAAGCUUCACCUACAAAAGCUUCACCCACAAAGCUUCACCUAAAAAGCUUCACCCACAAAGCUUCACCUAAAAAGCUUCACCCACAAAGCUUCACCAUCAAAGCUUCACCUACAAAAGCUUCACCCACAAAGCUUCACCUAAAAAGCUUCACCCACAAAGCUUCACCCACAAAGCUUCACCUAAAAAGCUUCACCCAAAAAACUUCACCCGAAAAGCUUCACUUAAAAAAGCUUCACCUACACAGCUUCACCUAAGAAAGCUUCACCAUCAAAGCUUCACCUACAAAAGCUUCACCCACAAAGCUUCACCUAAAAAGCUUCACCCACAAAGCUUCACCAUCAAAGCUU
rnacentral:lncRNA from 1 species